rnacentral:rRNA from 1 species
UUAAGUCGACCGCCUGGGGAGUACGGCCGCAAGGUUAAAACUCAAAUGAAUUGACGGGGGCCCGCACAAGCGGUGGAGCAUGUGGUUUAAUUCGAUGCAACGCGAAGAACCUUACCUGGUCUUGACAUCCACGGAAGUUUUCAGAGAUGAGAAUGUGCCUUCGGGAACCGUGAGACAGGUGCUGCAUGGCUGUCGUCAGCUCGUGUUGUGAAAUGUUGGGUUAAGUCCCGCAACGAGCGCAACCCUUAUCCUUUGUUGCCAGCGGUCCGGCCGGGAACUCAAAGGAGACUGCCAGUGAUAAACUGGAGGAAGGUGGGGAUGACGUCAAGUCAUCAUGGCCCUUACGACCAGGGCUACACACGUGCUACAAUGGCGCAUACAAAGAGAAGCGACCUCGCGAGAGCAAGCGGACCUCAUAAAGUGCGUCGUAGUCCGGAUUGGAGUCUGCAACUCGACUCCAUGAAGUCGGAAUCGCUAGUAAUCGUGGAUCAGAAUGCCACGGUGAAUACGUUCCCGGGCCUUGUACACACCGCCCGUCACACCAUGGGAGUGGGUUGCAAAAGAAGUAGGUAGCUUAACCUUCGGGAGGGCGCUUACCACUUUGUGGUUCAUGACUGGGGUGAAGUCGUAACAAGGUAACCGUAGGGGAACCUGCGGUUGGAUCACCUCCUUACCUUAAAGAAGC